GACGAACGCUGGCGGCGUGCUUAACACAUGCAAGUCGAACGGAAAGGCCUGCUUUCCCUUGUGGAUUGCGGGUACUCGAGCGGCGAACGGGUGAGUAACACGUGAGUGAUCUGCCCCCAACUUGGGUAUAAGCCUGGGAAACUGGGUCUAAUUCCCGAUAGGACUGCAGGGUGGUGCCUGUGGUGGAAAACGAUUUUCUAGUGGUUGGGGGUGAGCUCGCGGCCUAUCAGCUUGUUGGUGGGGUAAUGGCCUACCAAGGCGGCGACGGGUAGCCGGCCUGGGAGGGUGGACGGCCACAUUGGGACUGAGAUACGGCCCAGACUCCUACGGGAGGCAGCAGUGGGGAAUAUUGCACAAUGGGCGGAAGCCUGAUGCAGCGACGCCGCGUGGGGGAUGACGGCCUUCGGGUUGUAAACUCCUUUCGACCGCGAGGAAGCCACCUGGUUGGAAGGGUGGUGACGGUAGUGGUAGAAGAAGCACCGGCUAACUACGUG
rnacentral:rRNA from 1 species